AGGUCUUAUCAGCUUUCGGUUUAGUGCACAAGAUUGUUGCAUUUCAGAAGGCUGCUGAUUUUCAGUCUUCCGCGUUCCUCCCCACCUAAGUUUUGUGCAUUGCUGGAAAUUUCGUCCUUGCUGAUUGUUGUAAUUUUCGCUUGUAAUAUUUUUUGCUUCCGCUGUUGCGCUAGAUGUUCCUGAUACUUUUACAACAAGGUUUUGUUUGAGUGAUUCUGUUGCACAAAGAUUAAUUUAGAUUAUGUGUAAAUGCAUUGGUAUUCUUUUUUAA